GGAUUGUGGCUAAGUGGUAGAGCACUCACCUGGCAUAUGCGAGGCCUGGGUUCGAUUCUCAGCACCA
rnacentral:tRNA from 1 species